rnacentral:rRNA from 2 species
GUCUGACGGAGCACGCCGCGUGAGUGAUGAAGGCUUUCGGGUCGUAAAACUCUGUUGUUAGGGAAGAACAAGUACGAGAGUAACUGCUCGUACCUUGACGGUACCUAACCAGAAAGCCACGGCUAACUACGUGCCAGCAGCCGCGGUAAUACGUAGGUGGCAAGCGUUAUCCGGAAUUAUUGGGCGUAAAGCGCGCGCAGGCGGUUUCUUAAGUCUGAUGUGAAAGCCCACGGCUCAACCGUGGAGGGUCAUUGGAAACUGGGGAACUUGAGUGCAGAAGAGAAAAGCGGAAUUCCACGUGUAGCGGUGAAAUGCGUAGAGAUGUGGAGGAACACCAGUGGCGAAGGCGGCUUUUUGGUCUGUAACUGACGCUGAGGCGCGAAAGCGUGGGGAGCAAACAGGAUUAGAUACCCUGGUAGUCCACGCCGUAAACGAUGAGUGCUAAGUGUUAGAGGGUUUCCGCCCUUUAGUGCUGCAGCUAACGCAUUAACACUCCGCC